AUUGAACGCUGGCGGCAGGCCUAACACAUGCAAGUCGAACGAGUGGCGGACGGGUGAGUAAUGUCUGGGAACCUGCCCGAUGUAGGGGGAUAACUACUGGAACCGGUAGCCAAUACCGCAUACCAUCGGAUGUGCCCAGCUGGGAUUAGCUAGUCGGUGGGGUAACGGCUCACCUAGGCAACGAUGCCUAGCUGGUCUGAGGGGACGACCAGCGCAACUGGAACGUAGAAGCGGCCCAGAUUCCUCAGGGAGGCAGCAGUGGGGAAUUUUGGGAAAUGGGGGAAACCCUGAUCCAGCCAUCCCGCGUGUGUGAUGAAGGCCUUCGGGUUGUAAAGCACUUUUGGCAGGAAAGCGGUACCUGCAGAAUAAGCACCGGCUAACUACGUGCCAGCAGCCGCGGUAAUAC
rnacentral:rRNA from 1 species